UACGUAGGGUGCAAGCGUUGUCCGGAAUUAUUGGGCGUAAAGAGCUCGUAGGCGGUCUGUCGCGUCUGCUGUGAAAAUCAGGGCUCAACCCUGGACCUGCAGUGGGUACGGGCAGACUAGAGUGCGGUAGGGGAGAUCGGAAUUCCUGGUGUAGCGGUGAAAUGCGCAGAUAUCAGGAGGAACACCGGUGGCGAAGGCGGAUCUCUGGGCCGUAACUGACGCUGAGGAGCGAAAGUGUGGGGAACGAACAGG
rnacentral:rRNA from 1 species